GAGGGACCGCCCCCUCAUAUGUGACCCCCCCAUCAAUGAGGGGCCCCCUCAUGGCUCUCAUGCCCCUAAUUAACGACUAAUUAACUAAUUGCAGCUGUUCCUAUGUGCCCUGGCUCCGACCCCUUCCCCUCCUGACCCUGCUGACCCUAAUUAAUGACUAAUUAAUGAACUCCAAGUGUUCCUGCGCUGCCCAGCCCCACACCUUUUCCCCCGCUGACCCUCAUGCCCCUAAUUAAGGACUAAUUAACUAAUUGCAGGUGUUCCUAUGUGACCCGGCCCCUCCCCCCUUCCCCUCCUGACCCUGUUGAUCUUAAUUAAUGACUCAUUAACUAAUUAAUUGCAGCUGUUCCUGUGCAGCCCAGCCCCACACCUCUUCCCCUCCUGACCCUGCUGACCCUAAUUAAGGACUAAUUAAUGAACUGCAGGUGUUCCUGUGCUGCCCAGCCCCACACCUUUUUCCCCGCUGACCCUCCUGGCCCUAAUUAAGGACUAAUUAACUAAUUGCAGCUGUUCCUGUGCAGCCCAGCCCCAC
ensembl:lncRNA